GCUCCGCUCACUGGGCGCCCGCGCUAAGUGCCGCCAGUUAACUAGACGGGGGCGGGGCUCCGUCAGGCCCCGCCCCUGUCCGUCACGUGCCUCCUGGGGGAGGCGUGUAACCUGCGACCGCCUCAGCACCAGACGCCUCGGGCCAGCCACCCAGCAAGCCGCCGCCAGCAGAGACUCUACUCGGGACUUCUGCAUGGAAGAUAUCAACAUUGCUCAUCCAGCACCAACUACCCGUUGUGAGGCUAAGUCCUAAGUGAGUAUGGCUGAGAGGAUGAGGAAAUGACUCCAGACUAGGCUUCAUGCCCUGCCUGAUGGAGCUCCAGCGGUGGCAGAACUGAAGUAGGAACUGUUCUCCUGAAAACUAGAUAGUGUACUAACUAGAUGCUGGGAAUGCAAUGGUGAGCAAAACAUGUGGAGAUGACAAGAACCAGCAGAAGAGAAAACACCAAUCACAACAAAGUAUGAUAAAUACUACACUGAAGGAAUCAAGAGUGCAUCAACUGUUUCAGAGGAUUAAAACCUAACUGGGUUCUGCAGAAGUGAUGUUAAAAUGAAGUAUGGAGAAUAAAGAGUUCACUAAAGGAAGAAUAGUUUCAAAGAGGGAACAAAAAGAACUGAAGCCAGGUGUGGUGGCACAUAUCUGUAAUCUCAGCUGCUGGGGAGGCUGAAGCAGGAGGAUCACAAGUUCAAAGCCAGCCUCAGCAUUGGCAAGGUGAUAAGCAACUCAGUCAGACUCU